AUAGGAGACAAGAAGGCAUCUUCUUGUUUUUAAAAGACCUAGCAAUAGGUAUGCUUAGGGAGGAGCUUGCGUCACAUUAGUUAGUUGGUGGGGUAAAGGCCUACCAAGACUAUGAUGUGUAGCCGGGCUGAGAGGUUGAACGGCCACAUUGGGACUGAGACACGGCCCAAACUCCUACGGGAGGCAGCAGUAGGGAAUUUUCGGCAAUGGAGGAAACUCUGACCGAGCAACGCCGCGUGAACGAUGAAGUAUUUCGGUACGUAAAGUUCUUUUAUUAGGGAAGAAUAAAUGAUGGAAAAAUCAUUCUGACGGUACCUAAUGAAUAAGCCCCGGCUAACUAUGUGCCAGCAGCCGCGGUAAUACAUAGGGGGSMAGCGUUAUCCGGAAUUAUUGGGCGUAAAGGGUGCGUAGGCGGUUAAAUAAGUUUAUGGUCUAAGUGCAAUGCUCAACAUUGUGAUGCUAUAAAAACUGUUUAGCUAGAGUAAGAUAGAGGCAAGUGGAAUUCCAUGUGUAGUGGUAAAAUGCGUAAAUAUAUGGAGGAACACCAGUAGCGAAGGCGGCUUGCUGGGUCUUUACUGACGCUGAGGCACGAAAGCGUGGGGAGCAAACAGGAUUAGAUACCCUGGUAGUCCACGCCGUAAACGAUGAGUACUAAACGUUGGGUAAAACCAGUGUUGAAGUUAACACAUUAAGUACUCCGCCUGAGUAGUACGUACGCAAGUAUGAAACUUAAAGGAAUUGACGGGACUCCGCACAAGCGGUGGAUCAUGUUGUUUAAUUCGAAGGUACCCGAAAAACCUCACCAGGUCUUGACAUGCUUCUGCAAAGCUGUAGAAACACAGUGGAGGUUAUCAGUUGCACAGGUGGUGCAUGGUUGUCGUCAGCUCGUGUCGUGAGAUGUUGGGUUAAGUCCCGCAACGAGCGCAACCCUUAUUGUUAGUUACCAGCACGUAAUGGUGGGGACUUUAGCAAGACUGCCAGUGAUAAAUUGGAGGAAGGUGGGGACGACGUCAAAUCAUCAUGCCCCUUAUGACCUGGGCUACAAACGUGAUACAAUGGCUGUUACAAAGGGUAGCUGAAGCGCAAGUUUUUGGCGAAUCUCAAAAAAACAGUCUCAGUUCGGAUUGAAGUCUGCAACUCGACUUCAUGAAGUUGGAAUCGCUAGUAAUCGCGAAUCAGCAUGUCGCGGUGAAUACGUUCA
rnacentral:rRNA from 1 species